AGAGUUUGAUCAUGGCUCAGAGUGAACGCUGGCGGCGUGGAUUAGGCAUGCAAGUCGAGUGAUCCCGCAAGGGAUAGCGGCAGACGGGUGAUUAACACGUGGGUAACGUACCUCGAGGAGGAGAAUAGGAUAGGGAGACCUAUCGUAAUACUCCGUAGUCAGUGAAUCUGAAAUGGUUCAUUGUAAAGAUGGCCUCUAUUUAUAAGCUAUCGCCACGAGAGCGGCCUGCGGCCUAUCGGGUAGUUGGUGAGGUAACGGCCCACCAAGCCUAAGACGGGUAGCUGGUCUAAAAGGAUGGUCAGCCACAUCGGAACUGAGACACUGUCCGGACUCCUACGGGAGGCUGCAGUCGAGAAUCUUUCUCAAUGGACGAAAGUCUGAAGAUGCAACGCCGCGUGAGGGAUGAAGGCCUUCGGGUCGUAAACCUCUUUUGUUAGGGAGGAAACGUAAACGGUGAAUAAUCGUUUGCACUGACUGUACCUGAUGAAUAAGCCACGGCUAACUCCGUGCCAGCAGCCGCGGUAAUACGGAGGUGGCAAGCGUUACUCGGUUUGACUAGGUGUAAAGGGUCCGUAGGUGGCCUUGUAAGUGGAAGGUGAAAUCUCUUAGCUUAACUAAGAAAUUGCCUUUCAAACUGCAUGGCUAGAGGUUGGGAGGGGAUAGUGGAACUGCUAGUGUAAAGGUGAAAUUUGUGGAUAUUAGCAGGAACGCCUGUGGAGAAGUCGGCUAUCUGGUCCAUACCUGACACUGAGGGACGAAAGCUAGGGGAGCAAACAGGAUUAGAUACCCUAGUAGUCC
rnacentral:rRNA from 1 species